rnacentral:miRNA from 1 species
GACUCAGAUGCAGAUUGUGUGUGUGUGUGUGUGUGUGUGUGUAUAUAUAUAUAUAUAUACACACACACACACACACACACAAAUGCUUUAA